rnacentral:rRNA from 1 species
UACGAGGGGAGCUAGCGUUAUUCGGAAUUACUGGGCGUAAAGGGUGCGUAGGCGGCAAACUAAGUUGGAUGUGAAACCCCCGGGCUUAACUUGGGGACUGCAUUCAAAACUGGAUUGCUAGAGUGCAGGAGAGGAAAGCGGAAUUCCUAGUGUAGCGGUGAAAUGCGUAGAUAUUAGGAGGAACACCAGUGGCGAAGGCGGCUUUCUGGACUGUAACUGACGCUGAGGCACGAAAGCGUGGGGAGCAAACAGG